rnacentral:hammerhead_ribozyme from 1 species
AUCCAUCAGAUGGGUCCAAAUUAGGAGGAAACGCUCGUCCUGGAU